rnacentral:rRNA from 1 species
GUCCACGCCGUAAACGAUGAUAACUAGCUGUCCGGGCACUUGGUGCUUGGGUGGCGCAGCUAACGCAUUAAGUUAUCCGCCUGGGGAGUACGGUCGCAAGAUUAAAACUCAAAGGAAUUGACGGGGUCCUGCACAAGCGGUGGAGCAUGUGGUUUAAUUCGAAGCAACGCGCAGAACCUUACCAGCCUUUGACAUCCCGCGCUAUCCUGAGAGAUCAGGGGUUCCCUUCGGGGACGCGGUGACAGGUGCUGCAUGGCUGUCGU